UGUGAAAAAUUCUUGAAGAAUGAUUUUUGCUACUUGCCACCUAAUUGCAAGAUUAGCCAUAACCCGCGGCUCUUACGUAUCAAGAACCAGCCUUUGCAGGGCGUAUUUUAGCAAGAGCAGCCGAGACAUGGUGACGCUGGUGGUGGCCACCACCACCGACCCGGCCUCCAUCGGCCCAGCCUCCGCCCUCUUAGCCAUGCCCGGUUGGCACCCUGGCCCCCUCGUGCAGGGUAUACCGAGUUUUGUCAAUAAAGAAGUUAGAUUAUUGAAACACGAUAACAGUAUUGUUAAGGAGGACCACUUGGAUAAGCGUUGGGAGGCGGUGACUGGAGAAGUUGUCGAUGAGGUCAUAUUUCUGAGCAAGCACACCGCAGUGUCGAACCGUCCUGCGCUCACCGUUCACCCAAUUGGUGUGCCUCAUUUGCGUGAAGGGGAGGUGCCACCUGCAGGUGGUAAACCCGGGUGGGCAGCGCCCCCAAAUCCUCGGAUAGGGCCUUGGUUGAGGCUCUUGAAAACCAUUGCUGAAUCACAUAAUUUAACUCCUGAAUUUGAGGUCACAUUGGAGGCUACUCAUCAUGGACCUGAAAUUAAUUCGCCCACCAUGUUUGUAGAAAUUGGAAGUACAGAAGAGUACUGGAGGAGGCAGGAUGCAGCACAAGCCAUUGCUUUAUUAGUCUGGGAAGGAUUGGGGCUUGGAGGAGGAGUUUCAGUAGGUGACUGGAACAGGAAUAAUGGUCAAAACAAAAUACUUGUAGGAGUUGGUGGUGGACAUUAUGUACCCCGGCAUAUGGACAUUGUUCUAUGGUGUUUGGGUGGGCCACUUGCUAUCUGGGUAUGCCUUGCCAAUGGAAGAUCAUGGUCAGUCCAAAGCACAGGCAAAUGCUGAGGGUAUCGGUGGGACUUGGAGAAAAUCAAUUAAAGUUGCAUUUGAGACUACUAAAGCAGCUUUUCCAGGGGGAGAAGUUUUAGCUCAUCUUGAUCACAAGAGUUUCAAAGGCUGGCAAAAAACUGCUAUCAUGGGGUUCUUAGCAGAGCAAGACAUAAAAAUUGGCAAGCCUGGUGACUUCUGCUGAUGCUUGCUGUUGGAUUUUAUUCCAGUGGUUCAGUUCAGUUUCGUCAUUGGUGUAUGUUGACGGUGAUACCAACAUAUUAGGUCUGAAACCAAGAAAGAUAUGAUUUUCCGGCAAGGAGUUACUCGCGACUGAUUGUUUUGUCAAAUUUGCUCUAUUUUAGUGUCUUUUUUGUAUUUUCCAGUUGUAAAGAAAUUAUUCAUAUCUAUACAAAAGUCUGCAUACUGCCCAUUCCAUGGCUAA